UACGUAGGGACCAAGCGUUGUUCGGAUUUACUGGGCGUAAAGGGCGCGUAGGCGGCGUGGUAAGUCAGCUGUGAAAUCUCCGAGCUUAACUCGGAACGGUCAGCUGAUACUGCUGUGCUAGAGUACAGAAGGGGCAAUCGGAAUUCUUGGUGUAGCGGUGAAAUGCGUAGAUAUCAGGAGGAACACCUAUGGCGAAGGCAGCUCGCUGGGACGGUACUGACGCUGAGGCGCGAAAGCGUGGGGAGCGAACAGG
rnacentral:rRNA from 1 species